UGUGGAGAGCGUGAACAAUGUGGC
rnacentral:piRNA from 1 species